UGAGGUCGAACCCUUCGGUGGAGUCCGGCACGGAGGUGCGGUGCUGAGGCUGGUUGGGGAAGGGAGUGCCUGGAGGGAGGACUGGACCCGACAUGUUGGCCUGGGGGCUUCCGUGUGGGUCCCACUGCUCUGUCAUCCUGGUGACUCUCCCUCUCACACCUGGACUUGGCAGACAUGUUCAACACUGGAAGAACGCCCGCCAUGGAGACAACCCUACAAGUCUCUUAUGA